UACGUAGGGGGCAAGCGUUGUCCGGAAUCAUUGGGCGUAAAGCGCGUGUAGGCGGCCAGAAAAGUCCGCUGUGAAAACUCGAGGCUCAACUUCGAGCUGUCGGUGGAAACUUUCUGGCUAGAGUCCGGAAGAGGAGAAUGGAAUUCCUGGUGUAGCGGUGAAAUGCGCAGAUAUCAGGAAGAACACCCGUGGCGAAGGCGGUUCUCUGGGCAUUACCUGACGUGGAGGAGCGAAAGUGUGGGGAGCGAACAGG
rnacentral:rRNA from 1 species